CGGCGUGCAGGUCUCUGUGCUCUUGGAAGCAGCUGUAAUACUUAUAUUUUUUCCCACAAAUGUCACACGUGUACCUAAAGUUGUUGCCUUGUGAGGCUCCUUCACCUGAGGCAGCUUCAGUGUCUCUAUGCGCUCGCACAUGGGUCUGGAAACAGUUGUAAUACUUGUAUUUCUUCCCACAUAUUCCACACUCAUAAGACCCGAGCGUCUGCUGGUUGCGGACCCCUCCGAUCACCACGCAGAUCUCCGCCGGCACAUCUCCA
rnacentral:lncRNA from 1 species